rnacentral:rRNA from 1 species
CUACGGGGCGCAGCAGGCGCGAAACCUUUGCAAUGUGCGAAAGCAUGACAGGGGAACUCCGAGUGGCAGAAGGCUAAUGCUUUCUGUCUUUUGGCUAAUUUAAAUCGUUAGCAGAAUAAGAUCUGGGUAAGACCAGUGCCAGCCGCCGCGGUAAUACUGGCAGAGCGAGUGGCACCCACGAAUAUUGGGUCUAAAGAGUCCGUAGCGGGCUUGUUAAGUCUACUGUGAAAUCCAACGGCUCAACCGUUGGGCGUGCAGUGGAUACUGACAGGCUUGGGAGUGGGGGAGGUCAGGAGUACUUGUGGGGUAGUGGUAAAAUACUGUAAUCCUACAAGGACUACCAGUGGCGAAGGCGCCUGACCAAAACACGUCCGACCGUGAGGGACGAAGGCUAGGAGAACGAAUCGGAUUAGAUACCCUGGUAGUC